rnacentral:rRNA from 1 species
GGACUACUGGGGUAUCUAAUCCUGUUUGAUCCCCACGCUUUCGUGCCUCAGCGUCAAUCGCUGUUUAGUGAGCUGCCUUCGCAAUCGGUGUUCUAAGUCAUAUCUAUGCAUUUCACCGCUACAUGACUUAUUCCGCCCACCUCAACAGUAUUCAAGACAUAUAGUAUCAAUGGCAGUUUCCGGGUUGAGCCCAGAGAUUUCACCACUGACUUACAUAUCCGCCUACACACCCUUUAAACCCAGUAAAUCCGGAUAACGCUUGCACCCUCCGUAUUACCGCGGCUGCUGGCAC